UGUAUAUUAAAGUUGCUGUGACUAAAACGCUCGUAGUUGAAUUAAAAUGUGAUUUUAUACAUUUUGAAGACUUUACAUUAAGUGAAGUUUCUAGAAAUGUUAAAUUAAAAUCAAAGAAGGAGACAAUUCAAGUAAUUGAGUUGUCAUUACUUUGAAUAAAAUAAGGUGUUUAAAGCAAAACAUUAUGUUAAUGAAUAUUCAAGCAUGGGACAAUGCUGAGGAGAUGUCAAUUAGACAUUUCGAGAGAAGGAUUAAAAGGAACAAUUGGGGUGAUUCAGAAAAUAACGGGAGUGGUGAAAAUCCAUGAUCGCUAAAAGA
rnacentral:rRNA from 1 species